rnacentral:tRNA from 1 species
GGGGAUAUAGCUCAGUUGGUAGAGUAUUUGCCUUGCAUGCACAAAGCCCUGGGCUCAAUCCCUAGCACCA